rnacentral:rRNA from 1 species
GACGAACGCUGGCGGCGUGCUUAACACAUGCCAGUCGAACGGAAAGGCCCUGCUUUUGUGGGGUGCUCGAGUGGCGAACGGGUGAGUAACACGUGAGUAACCUGCCCUUGACUUUGGGAUAACUUCAGGAAACUGGGGCUAAUACCGGAUAGGAGCUCCUGCUGCAUGGUGGGGGUUGGAAAGUUUCGGCGGUUGGGGAUGGACUCGCGGCUUAUCAGCUUGUUGGUGGGGUAGUGGCUUACCAAGGCUUUGACGGGUAGCCGGCCUGAGAGGGUGACCGGCCACAUUGGGACUGAGGUACGGCCCGGACUCCUACGGGAGGCAGCAGUGGGGAAUAUUGCACAAUGGGCGGAAGCCUGAUGCAGCAACGCCGCGUGCGGGAUGACGGCCUUCGGGUUGUAAACCGCUUUCGCCUGUGACGAAGCGUGAGUGACGGUAAUGGGUAAAGAAGCACCGGCUAACUACGUG